GCGACCUUUAUUUGAAUCCCGUGCGCGA
rnacentral:sRNA from 1 species